ensembl:miRNA mir181b-1 microRNA 181b-1
CAUGUACGCACCUUCAGUUCUUCAAAGGUCAUAAUCAACAUUCAUUGCUGUCGGUGGGUUUAGUCUUGUAACAGCUCUCUGAACAAUGAAUGUAACUGUGGCCCAGAUU